rnacentral:lncRNA from 1 species
CGGCUUCCUUUCCUUAGGCCUCCGGUCCUUCGAUUCGUCCAGUUUCCCACUCCUCUCAAGCUGCAGAGCGCAGAUCCGGUGAGGGAGGAUUAGAUCCAGGCGGUGGAUGGCCAGUCCCAGAAGACGACGGCGGCGCGGGCGCGGAGGUGGCUGCGCAGGCCUGGGAGGCGACAGCUGCAACGGUCCCUAGGUGCCGGGAUGUGGCGGACAGUGGUAAGUUCCUGCAUCCGUGCGGCUCCGAUCCUUGCUGCUCUUCUGCAUGGACCAGGUUGUGCAUCGGUCCAGCUUUUCACUUUCAUAUCCAUGGAAUUCUCCUUUUAUAUUAUUUAGUUAACUUGUUGCAGAUCUGUGAAAUUAAGAAGCUAGUUCAAAAGGGAAGAUUGUUGAUUGUCUAUUGGUUUUCUCUUUUAAUGUGUAGGCAUUUGUGGUUUCAUGUAAGUGGAGCAGCGGAGGUCAAUUAAUCUGCAAGGAAUUUUGAACUGCUCUUAUAUUGUAGUGUAAAUUUUACUGUAUUCUGAAUUUUGUCUUGCUUCGUGUUUCAUAGGGUCUAAAACUGGAAGCUUGAACAAGCUUUCCUCCCAUAUUUUUUUUGUUAAUUGCAGUUUGGUCAUCUGGUGACUAUCUUAAAGAAAUGAAUGGGCAACCGAUCUAUGCAAGAGAUAUCUGAAUGUACUAUACACUAAUUUUUGCCGCUGAAGCUUACCCUCUCAUUCUUAAAGAAUUGCAGUUUGCUUUGCUUGAUCUAACAGUGGAGCUGUAAUGACUCGUAUUUAAAAUUUAAUAGAAGAAGAUGCAGCUAGAGCCUUAGGCAAAUCAAGAUUUUUUUGUAGUAUGCAUGUUUGAGUUGCCAUUUUUAUUAAAUAGUUGCUUGAAACUUUUACUGGGGAAUUAGAUGCAGACAGUAUGUAUGACUGAACAAUUUCACACUUUUUAAGUAAUUUCAAUUUUGCAACUUAGUCAGGAUUAGCCGCACAAUAAGUUAGUAAUCAAACAUUUUUGCAACUUCAAAUGAAUUAGCGAACAGUAUUGCUAUGGGUAAAUGUCUAAGCACAAUUGCUAUUUAAGUUGGACCUUGUGUGUUAUCUGAAGAUCCAAGUCAAGUGAGGAAAUUGAUAAUGUCUCCUUGGGUUUCGGUAUGUUUUUUUUUGUGCAUCUAGUUCGUGAUUUCUUUUUUUUCUAACUAAUUUCUUUUUUCCUUUUUUAAUAGCAAAGUAUCUUGUAUGCUGAAUCUACAAGUAAACUUGCUGAAAAGGCUUUUAAUUUCCUUAAUAUCGACUAUGCUUUGGUAAGUAGAAUAUUUUUUUUACAUUCUUUGUACAUUUCCUACCUAAGUUGCCACACUGAAAUUUAAUAAUUUUGCUGUAAAUGGAAACUGUAUUCAGUAUUUUUUGGGCUUUGUGUAGAUUUGAAGAAUGUAGAUUAGGGAUUGUGUAGCAUCAGCAAGGCAGCAUGGCUAACUUUUCAUUUGUUUCAACAAGUGAUGUUUGUUUCUGAUGUAUUUUCUACAGGAUAUGGAGAAAUUUCAGCAACCUAAGGUACUCAUGCUCCGGACACCAAAAACACCUAGUUGCCAGCACCUGUUCAACUAUUAGCAAUUUGGUGACUAAGAUCACUUGUGAGAUAGGGAUGUGAGAUUUCUAAUUUAUCUGAGAUAACUUUGUGACUAAGUUCACUUGUUGAACUAUAGUUUGGUGUUCGUGAUGAAUGUAAUAAAUAUAUUGAUGAAUGACAUAUGAACCUAUUGAUUUGGUCAUGAAUGGAAUAUAUUGUUGGACCUACAUAUGUUAAUGUGGAUUGUUUGAUGUGUCGGUGCGGUACGUGAUGGUAUGGAUUGAGCCAAAUUAAUGAGUCAUCCUACGUGACAAGGCCUAAGAACCUAUGACAUAAAAGUAGAAGUCAUAAACGCUUGUGACAUUUAAAACCAAUGUCAUGAUAUUAUGACAUGAACACUUAAACGUCACAAGUUGUCAUUAAAGACGCGCAUCUUUUGACAUUUCAAUUUUCGUCAACUUGGUGUCAUAAAUGGUGAUCUAUGACUUAUUUUGCAUGAAUUAUGACAUAUAUCAAAUGUCAAAAGAUGACACAUUUCUUGUAGUGUUUUCAGGGAGCCAGCUGGGCCAAGCAGGCCGCGCGCGGCUCACUCCGCAGUGCCGCUGCU